AUGGACACGGGGGAGGCGGCGUUCGGGGUGGCGAGCCUGCGGCUGGGCUCCCGGGCGUCGUCGUCCAGGGCGGGCGACGAUGACGACGAGGAGGCGCUCAUGUGGGCGGCGCUCGAGAGGCUGCCCACGCACGCCCGCGUCCGCAAGGGCAUAGUCGGGGAUGACGGCAGCCGCGGUGGUGGCGGGUUCGUCGACGUCGCCGGCCUCGGGUUCCAGGAGCGGACGCGCUUGCUCGACCGGCUCGUGCGCGUCGCCGAGGAGGACCACGAGCGCUUCUUGCACAAGCUCAAGCAGAGGAUCGACAGAGUUGGGAUCGACUUUCCGACGAUCGAAGUGCGAUACGACCACCUCAACAUCGAGGCGCUGGCACAUGUGGGGAACAGAGGCUUGCCCACCUUCAUCAACACCACUCUGAAUUCUCUAGAGACAUUAGCCAAUUUUCUUCGUAUAAUUCCGAACAAGAAGAUACCCAUCAACAUCCUGCAUGAUGUCAAUGGAAUUAUCAAGCCAAAGAGGAUGACGUUACUAUUAGGGCCACCAGGAUCUGGGAAGACUACACUGCUUCUUGCUCUGGCAGGGAAACUAGGCUCUGAUCUAAAGGUUUCAGGAAAAGUGACAUACAAUGGGCAUGGAAUGAAUGAGUUUGUGGCUCAGAGAUCAGCAGCUUACAUAUCCCAACAUGACCUCCAUAUCGCCGAGAUGACGGUACGGGAAACCUUGGCCUUCUCAGCCAGAUGCCAAGGGGUUGGAAGUAGAUACGACAUGCUUACUGAGCUAUCAAGAAGGGAGAAAGCCGCAAAUAUCAAACCAGACCCAGAUCUUGAUGUCUACAUGAAGGCAAUAUCAGUGGGCGGUCAGGAUACAAAUAUCAUCACUGAUUACAUCCUCAAGAUUUUAGGGCUUGACAUUUGCGCUGACACCAUGGUCGGAGAUGAUAUGCUGAGAGGAAUCUCAGGGGGACAACGCAAACGUGUCACAACUGGUGAGAUGAUGGUCGGAGCGGAAAGAGCACUGUUCAUGGAUGAAAUCUCCACUGGCCUGGAUAGCUCUACCACAUACCAGAUAGUGAAAUCACUUGGACUAAUCACCAACAUCCUCAGUGGCACAACUGUCAUUUCCUUGUUGCAACCUGCACCAGAAACAUAUAAUUUGUUUGAUGACAUAAUCCUCUUGUCGGAUGGUCACAUUGUGUAUCAAGGGCCACGCGAACAUGUGCUUGAAUUCUUCGAAUCCAUGGGCUUCAAAUGUCCCGACCGGAAAGGCGUUGCCGACUUUUUGCAAGAAGUGACAUCAAGGAAAGAUCAGCCACAAUACUGGGCAAGGAGUAACAGGAGAUACCAAUACGUCCCAGUCAAGGAGUUUGCCCGUGCAUUCCAGGCAUUUCAUGUUGGCCAGAGUUUAUCUGCGGAGCUCUCUCGCCCUUUCGACAGGAGCCAGUGCCACCCUGCUUCACUGACGACCUCGACGUACGGCGCCAGCAAGACAGAGCUGCUGCGUGCGUGCAUCGAGAGGGAGUGGUUGCUCAUGAAAAGGAAUAUGUUUGUCUACCGCUUCCGGGCUUUUCAGCUUCUGAUAAUGACAGUAAUCGUGAUGACACUGUUCCUGCGCACAAACAUGCACCAUCGUACGGUUAACGACGGCAUUGUUUACCUAGGUGCUCUGUUCUUCGCUAUAGUUGCCCACAUGUUCAACGGUUUCUCUGAGCUCGCUUUGGCCACCAUAAAAUUGCCGGUCUUCUUCAAGCAAAGAGAUUACCUCUUCUUUCCUGCAUGGGCUUACGCCAUACCAACUUGGAUCCUCAAGAUACCGAUAUCUUGCGUCGAGGUCGCCAUCACAGUAUUCUUGGGUUACUACGUCAUUGGGUUCGAUCCAGAUGUUGGAAGGUUGUUCAAGCAGUACUUGCUGCUGUUGUUUGUCAAUCAGAUGGCUGCAGGAUUGUUCAGGUUUAUCGCAGCAUUGGGCAGGACCAUGGUUGUUGCAAAUACACUGGCGUCCUUCGCACUUCUUGUGCUGCUCGUGCUCAGUGGAUUCGUCCUGUCACAUCAUGAUGUGAAGAAAUGGUGGAUCUGGGGCUACUGGAUGUCACCUCUUCAGUAUGCCAUGAGUGCCAUUGCUGUAAACGAGUUCCUUGGGGAUAAAUGGCAACGGGUUCUCCAGGGGUCCAACAGAACUCUAGGAAUAGAUGUGCUCAAGUCCAGGGGCUUUUUCACUGAGGCAAAAUGGUACUGGAUUGGCGUUGGGGCACUCGUGGGAUACGUCAUCGUGUUCAACAUCCUCUUCACCCUCGCUCUAAGCUACCUUAAACCGUUGGGGAAAUCUCAGCAAAUUCUUUCAGAGGAUGCACUGAAGGAGAAGCAUGCCAAUAUCACCGGCGAAACUCCUGAUGGCUCUAUCUCUGCAGCUGCAGGGAACAUCAACAGCUCAAGGAGAAAUUCUGCCGCCCCAGAAGACAGUGGUAGGAGGGGAAUGGUCCUGCCUUUUGCGCCGCUUGCUGUUGCCUUCAACAACAUGAGAUACUCUGUUGACAUGCCUGCGGAAAUGAAAGCACAAGGUGUUGAUGAAGAUAGGCUGCUUCUGCUGAAGGGAGUCAGUGGCAGUUUCAAGCCGGGAGUCCUGACGGCGUUGAUGGGGGUUAGUGGCGCCGGCAAGACCACACUGAUGGAUGUGUUGGCUGGCAGGAAGACUGGAGGCUACAUCGAAGGCGACAUCUCAAUAUCCGGCUACCCGAAGAAGCAGGAGACCUUUGCUCGUAUCUCGGGUUACUGUGAGCAGAAUGACAUCCACUCACCAAAUGUGACCGUGUAUGAGUCCCUGGUCUACUCCGCAUGGCUCAGACUGCCUUCCGAUGUCGAGUCGGAAACAAGAAAGAUGUUCAUAGAGCAAGUGAUGGAGCUGGUAGAACUGAAUUCACUGAGAGAUGCGCUUGUUGGACUGCCUGGAGUGAACGGCCUGUCAACGGAGCAGAGGAAGAGGCUGACGAUCGCCGUCGAGCUUGUCGCUAACCCCUCUAUAAUAUUCAUGGAUGAGCCUACCUCCGGCCUUGAUGCCAGGGCCGCGGCUAUUGUCAUGAGGACGGUGAGGAACACCGUCGACACGGGCAGGACAGUUGUUUGCACCAUCCACCAGCCUAGCAUCGACAUUUUCGAAGCCUUUGAUGAGCUGUUCCUGAUGAAGAGAGGAGGGGAGGAGAUAUACGUGGGUCCUCUGGGGCACCAGUCGUGUGACCUCAUCCAAUACUUUGAGGGAAUCGAACGGGUCAGCAAGAUCAAACCAGGGUACAAUCCGGCGACUUGGAUGCUGGAAGUGACCUCACAGGCACAAGAAGACAUACUAGGUGUCAGUUUCGCAGAAGUCUACAAGAACUCAGACCUGUACCAGAGAAACCAGAGCAUGAUCAGGGACAUCAGCAGGGCCCCUGCUGGCUCCAAGGAUCUCUACUUCCCCACGCAGUACUCGCAGAGCUCCAUCACCCAAUGCAUGGCGUGUCUGUGGAAGCAGCACCUGUCCUACUGGAGGAACCCUCAGUACACCGUGGUCCGCUUCUUCUUCUCCCUCGUCGUCGCGCUCAUGUUCGGCACCAUAUUCUGGCAACUUGGGGGCAAGAGGUCGAGGACGCAGGACCUGUUCAACGCGAUGGGGUCCAUGUACGCUGCGGUGCUCUUCAUGGGGAUCUCCUACUCGUCGUCGGUGCAGCCCGUGGUGGCGGUGGAGCGGACGGUGUUCUACCGGGAGCGGGCGGCCGGGAUGUACUCAGCGCUGCCAUACGCGUUCGGACAGGUGGUGGUGGAGCUCCCCUACGUGCUGGUGCAGUCGCUGGCGUACGGGGUGAUCGUUUACGCCAUGAUCGGCUUCCAGUGGGACGUGAAGAAGUUCUGCUGGUACCUCUACUUCAUGUACUUCACGCUGCUCUACUUCACCUACUAUGGCAUGCUCGCCGUAGGGCUCACCCCCAGCUACAACAUCGCCUCCAUCGUCUCGUCCUUCUUCUACGGCGUGUGGAACCUCUUCUCGGGCUUCGUCAUCUCGCGGCCAACAAUGCCCGUGUGGUGGAGGUGGUACUCGUGGGUGUGCCCGGUGUCAUGGACGCUCUAUGGGCUGGUGGCCUCACAGUUCGGUGACCUCAUGGAGCCUCUCCAGGACAGCGGCGUGCCCAUCGACGCCUUCCUCAAGAGCUUCUUCGGAUUCCAACACGACUUCCUGGGCGUCGUCGCCGUUGUUACUGCCGGGUUCGCUGUCCUGUUCGCCGUCGCCUUUGGUCUCUCCAUCAAGGUGCUCAACUUCCAGAGAAGGUGA
rnacentral:rRNA from 1 species